rnacentral:rRNA from 1 species
GAUGAACGCUGGCGGCGUGCCUAAUACAUGCAAGUCGAGCGAAUGGAUUAAGAGCUUGCUCUUAUGAAGUUAGCGGCGGACGGGUGAGUAACACGUGGGUAACCUGCCCAUAAGACUGGGAUAACUCCGGGAAACCGGGGCUAAUACCGGAUAACAUUUUGAACCGCAUGGUUCGAAAUUGAAAGGCGGCUUCGGCUGUCACUUAUGGAUGGACCCGCGUCGCAUUAGCUAGUUGGUGAGGUAACGGCUCACCAAGGCAAAGAGGCGUAGCCGACCGGAGGGGGUGAUCGGCCACACUGGGACUGAGACACGGCCCAGACUCCUACGGGAGGCAGCAGUAGGGAAUCUUCCGCAAUGGACGAAAGUCUGACGGAGCAACGCCGCGUGAGUGAUGAAGGCUUUCGGGUCGUAAAACUCUGUUGUUAGGGAAGAACAAGUGCUAGUUGAAUAAGCUGACACCUUGACGGUACCUAACCAGAAAGCCACGGCUAACUACGUGCCAGCCGCCGCGGUAA